AGGUCUAAUCGUCAAUUGCAUUUGCAUUCAUUAAAUUUCUUGUGAUAAAAAUCUCAUUUGAAUAAUGAAGUUAAUUUCUGUAUUGAUUGUAAUUGCGGUGGUAAUAAUGGCUGCCAGUGGACAGCGAUGCAGGGGACGUCGAGAGCCGUGUCAAACCGACAAUGACUGCUGCAAUUUCGCUUGUCGUGGACGCAGCAAGAUUUGUGCAUAAUAUAGGACCUACGGUGUACGGAUCAUCCUCCGGGGAACUUUGCAACCAAAAAAAGACACGAGAAUUUAUUUAAAAAAUCAAAAUAAAAAAUAUCACACCCUCCAAACACCCAUUGCAUUUAUCAUUUGUUAUUAUAUAUUAUUAUUCCAAGAUUAUUCACGCCCAGAUGUCAGAAGAAUGACGUCAAAAUCUUUUCUUGUUCUCUCUCUGAUCAUAAACAAUUUUAGAAUUAAUUAAUAAUCCCGAUAUUUUCUCAGCCAAGAAAUGAAAACAGUUAAAUGUGGAAUAAUCGAUUUCAUUGAAAAAAAAAUCUUAAAAAUCUUGAAUGAGUUCUCAUAUAAAAGUGCGCGUGGAGUUCCUUCACCAGUCGUAAUUGAAUCAAUCGAGUGCACACCAGAAAAAGGUUCAAAAAAUAUAUUUGGAAUAAUGAAGUUCAUUUCAUUUUUUGCGGUGAUCGCGAUGGUGUUGGUGGCUGUGAGUGGCCAACGUUGUAGGGACCGAAGACAGAGGUGCGGACACGAUAACGACUGCUGCAACUGGUCUUGCAUUCCGGGUAGACAAAUCUGCGCCUAAUGGAGGACUGACGAGGAAACGAGGACUGAAUUUCAAUGGAUUAACGAUCAAUCAACUUUAUUAUUUAAAAAUGUAAAAAAAAAAUUCUUUUCGAAGAUGUUAUCUCCACAGUAAUCCUUUAUAAUUAUUCAUUUAUAAUUGUUCAAUAACGGAAAUAUAAAUAUUAAAACAUA